GAUUUCACAACUGAAGACCAAGUUUAUUGGUCAGGCAAUAGGGAAGAGGCUUCAAGAGACUCUUACCUUGAAACAAUAGAAGAGCUUGAGGAAUUUUUACAGAAACUCGAUGAGAUAUAUGGGACAAGAAGUCCAGCUGCACCUGAGCCAAAACCCUGUGUACCUCCGACUGCCCAUGAAGAGGACAGCCAAAAGGAAUCCAUGCAGAAUGAGGGUUUCAGCAUGGCUCCUGUUUCUGGGGUCGUUGUGUGAAUCAAACGAGAUAAUGUGUUUGGACUUCCAUUGAUGAUCCUACAACUGAAGAUCUAGUUCAGGUAUCAGGCAACAGCAAAGAGGUGUCGAGGUACUCCUAUCUUCAGACGGUUGAGGAAAUUAAGGCAUUUCUACAGGAAGCCAAUGAGACACAUAAGGCAAGGACCCCAGCUGCCCCAGAGCCUCUGACUGCCCGUGAGGAAGAUGACCAAAAGGAGUCCAUGCAGAGACAGAAACCCACAACUGAAGAUCUAGUUCAGUUAUCAGGCACCAGCAAAGAGGCUUCCACAACUUCUUUCUUUGUGACACUUGAGGACAUUGAGGAGUUUCUUCACGAGAUCAAUGAAAUACACGAGGCAAAAACCCCACCUGCACCAGAGUCGGAGCUCUGCGUACCUCUGACUGCCCAUGAUGACGUCAGCCAAAUGGAGUCCGUGAACAGCCAGGUGACCUCCUUUGAUGAGAGAAACCCAACAGGAACAUCCCAGUUAAUGGAUGUCACUGACACCCCAACGACAUUUAUCACUGUUUGUCAAGUAACAGUUGUUAAUGCAAACAAGAGGACAAUCUUCAAUGAGGGUAGCGAGGUAGGGACCCUCAGUGAUGACCAGAGCCUCUGUGGAGGCCAGAUGACCAUCAGUGGGGAUCAGGCCCUCUAUGGGGCUCAGAUGAAGAGCCCCACUGUAUGCCAGAAUCUCAGUGGAACCCAGAUGACCUUCGCUGCAGACAAGACCAUCUGUGGGAAUCAGAUGGAGACCAUGGAUGAACACCAGACCCUCAGUGUAGGACAGAUGAACUUCAGUGGGGACCAGACUCUCUAUGGGGGUCAGAUGAAGACAGUCAAUGAUGACACUCUCCAU
rnacentral:lncRNA from 1 species